AGGAGGGUGCGGAGAAGACAGGGCGGGGGGAGGGAGGGGGAGACCGAGGCGAGGGCGCCUCCCACAAGCCGAACCCCGGGAGCCGCCCCGGAUCCCGGCCCCGCCCUGGACCGCCCACGGUGGCGGGCGGUGGGGCGGGGGGUUGGCGGCGGCGGGCUGGGGGGGAGGCUGGGGCGCGCACCGGAGCCGGGUGGGGGCGAGGGGCCCCGAGCGGAAGGCGGAGGAGCGGGUGCGGGGCUGGCAAUCGGGGCUGCAGGUGGAGAAGGACGGCUGCACGAGGAGGAGGCCGCUCCGGACCGGCCUCGUGCAGUGGAGAAAACUCGAAGGGACAAAAGCUUAAACUUCAAACAUGGAGUUAAUUACAAGCCACGCCUCAACUUGGCCUUCUCCUAAAGGCUGGAACCCUUGCUGCCGCACUGCCAGGAGGGAGUCCGGGGACCACACUAGCAUGCUAGCCAAAUACUCAGAGAAAAAAGACACAUCACCACAUUUUUCUAGUAGAAACCAUGGAAUGCUGAGAACUCCACUCUGAGGUGUGUGUAUAGUCAGCAUGACUCAUACACACCUCCGGAUGCUUUCGGCAUCUGUGACCCCUCCGUCGGCCCCAAGACACCUUCCCAGUGCGUGACUUAGGAGCCACUCACAUCAUCCGUCUUAACCCUCCCGGCCUCUCCGGGGCGCUCUGCUAUGACUAUGAUGCAUUUUCGGAAGAGGAAGCUGCAGCUCAGAAAGGUGGAAGGACACCCCCAAGGUCACAACGCCCGUGCCUACAGCCUGGAGCUGCAGCCUAGACCUCUGCUCCUCCCUCCUGCUCCUGGUGCUCUAGCCAUCCCGGCCAACUGCGUCCUUGCGCCUUGCCCACACCUUGCCCACGCACUGUGGGAGCAGGCAGCCCGGACCGCCCCUGCCGUCUUCUCCCCUCCCAACAGACCCCACCCCACCCCACCCAGCCAGGGUCUCUCCCAGCACAGCCUUCACCAUCCAAAACACUCACCUCAGCGGUCAUUGCUUUUCAAUUCUAGAACCAUGUAUGUAAUACCUGCCUCCUGACCGGGCCUUAAGCUCCGUGGGAGCAGGGACACUGAGCAGGGUUCUCGCGUCCUCCCCACAGCCACGGCACAGCGCCUGCCACCUGGACGGAAGCGUCGUGAGAGACCAUGCAACAAAAACAUCUUCUGACUCAAUAAUCAGUUUUCACUGCACAGUGCGGGUCAUCUCAGCAGUUUCCAAGCCUGAGGACCUCUUGCUGGUCUGCUGUGUGUGCCAUUCCCGAGGCCUUCCUGAGAUGCCCUGUCGCUCACUCGCUCCAGGAUGUGGGUAUGAGGCUCAGACAAGCUAGAGUGCUUGGUAAGCCUGAGACACUGACAACUGCUAGUGCUUAAAAUUUUAUUCUGGGAGAGAAGUAGAUGGAAGACGAACGAUGAUCCAGUCCUCCAAGAGAGGAAGGGUCUGUGUGUCAGCGGACGAAGGUAGCAGGCACUCACUGAAUGUGUGGUCGACUUACAAAGAGAAUCCUGGGGUUUUCCCAAUUUCCCAGCCCAGGAUGCGCACUUCGCCACAUCCUCUGCCAGGUGCAACUCGGAACGCCCCAGUGUGGGAAGCAGAAGCUCAGGGAGGCUGUGAACCUCCUGUCCGAGUGCUAUACCCGGACUCUCAGAUCUUUUCUAUCCGGGCACGGCUCCUGCACCCAAGUCCAAACUGGCCAGCAAGUUCCCCAGAAGCUACCUCUCCGAGAUUCACACAACACUACUUGGCCCCUCUGUACCCCUCGCCUUCCGCAUUCUUAGAGUGGGGACAAUAGUGUGUCCCUCCUGCUGGGGUCAUAGGG